UUCUCAUCAAUAGAAACGAAUUAAGUUCAAACAGCAGGUAAUUGCUAUAAACUGUUAAAGAGUUCCCUCGACUAUCUUUCUUCUCCAUCAUCAGAUCGACUCCAGACCUUUAUUAAAUAGUAGUGCUUUAUAGUACUUAAUGAAAACAUGAUUAAAUUUACUAGUCACCCUUACGAUUUUUGAAAGUUUCCCUCGAUUUCUCUGGGAUCCCAUCAUCAGACCCUGGUUUCCUUAUCAUGGUACCAAACUAUGCAUAUCUCCUUUCCAACAAAAAAAGAAUUAUCCAAAUCG
rnacentral:misc_RNA from 1 species